GACGAACGCUGGCGGCGUGCCUAAUACAUGCAAGUAGAACGCACAGUUUAUACCGUAGCUUGCUACACCAUAAACUGUGAGUUGCGAACGGGUGAGUAACGCGUAGGUAACCUGCCUGGUAGCGGGGGAUAACUAUUGGAAACGAUAGCUAAUACCGCAUAAUAUUAAUUAUUGCAUGAUAAUUGAUUGAAAGAUGCAAUUGCAUCACUACCAGAUGGACCUGCGUUGUAUUAGCUAGUAGGUGAGGUAACGGCUCACCUAGGCGACGAUACAUAGCCGACCUGAGAGGGUGAUCGGCCACACUGGGACUGAGACACGGCCCAGACUCCUACGGGAGGCAGCAGUAGGGAAUCUUCGGCAAUGGACGAAAGUCUGACCGAGCAACGCCGCGUGAGUGAAGAAGGUUUUCGGAUCGUAAGGCUCUGUUGUAAGAGAAGAACGGGUGUGAGAGUGGAAAGUUCACACUGUGACGGUAUCUUACCAGAAAGGGACGGCUAACUACGUG
rnacentral:rRNA from 1 species